CAGGACUGACUGAUCAGUUAGUUGUUGAAUCUGCUCUUUUCCUAAGGUAGAGGACCGACCUCUUGUCCACUUCAGUCUCCAGAAGAAAGUAACAUCAGUCCCCUCUCUGGUGUCUUAACUGUGGCCAUCCCUCCAAAGCAGAUCCUGCUCUAAAGGAAGAUGCUACUUGGAGACUUUUAUAUCAUUUGCAAGAUUUAUACCCAGAGAAGCCAACAGAUUCUGGUGGCAAAUGCACUUGAGCAGUCUUUUACUAACCUCUAGGCGUGACGCAUGACUUAACCAUGGCAAAAUGGCAGCUGGGACCAUCCCCACCUGAGAAAAUAUGGAAAGGCUA
rnacentral:lncRNA from 1 species